AUACAUAUAUAUUGUGUCAAUAACCAGCUGGAUAAGAUGUUCUCUUGGGGCUACAAGCUAUAGUAGCAUUCACCCUUAGUGGUUUGCCCGAUUUAAGUGGCAAAUAUACUUCAUGUUGUUUUGCAGCUACUGUUUAUACCUCGUUCAGAGAUUUAUUAUUGCUUAUAUAUAUAUGUAUA